CAGCCGCCGCGGUAAAACGUAGGGUGCAAGCGUUAAUCGGAAUUACUGGGCGUAAAGCGUGCGUAGGCGGUUUGUUAAGUCUGUUGUGAAAUCCCCGGGCUCAACCUGGGAAUGGCAAUGGAUACUGGCAAGCUAGAGUGUGUCAGAGGAUGGUGGAAUUCCCGGUGUAGCGGUGAAAUGCGUAGAGAUCGGGAAGAACAUCAGUGGCGAAGGCGGCCAUCUGGGACAACACUGACGCUGAGGCACGAAAGCGUGGGGAGCAAACAGGAUUAGAUACCCCAGUAGUCCCUGUCUCUUAUAC
rnacentral:rRNA from 1 species